rnacentral:tRNA from 1 species
CCAGGGGUGGCAGAGCGGUCAAUUGCACCAGACUGUAAAUCUGGCGGGGCAACCCUACGUAGGUUCGAAUCCUACCCCCUGGA